AGUGAACGCUGGCGGUAGGCCUAACACAUGCCAGUCGAACGGCAGCACAGUAAGAGCUUGCUCUUACGGGUGGCGAGUGGCGGACGGGUGAGGAAUACAUCGGAAUCUACUUUUUCGUGGGGGAUAACGUAGGGAAACUUACGCUAAUACCGCAUACGACCUACGGGUGAAAGCAGGGGAUCUUCGGACCUUGCGCGAUUGAAUGAGCCGAUGUCGGAUUAGCUAGUUGGCGGGGUAAAGGCCCACCAAGGCGACGAUCCGUAGCUGGUCUGAGAGGAUGAUCAGUCACACUGGAACUGAGACACGGUCCAGACUCCUACGGGAGGCAGCAGUGGGGAAUAUUGGACAAUGGGCGCAAGCCUGAUCCAGCCAUACCGCGUGGGUGAAGAAGGCCUUCGGGUUGUAAAGCCCUUUUGUUGGGAAAGAAAAGCAGCAGGUUAAUACCCCGCUGUUCUGACGGUACCCAAAGAAUAAGCACCGGCUAACUUCGUG
rnacentral:rRNA from 1 species